UACGUAGGUGACGAGCGUUUAUCCGGAAUACUGGGCGUAAAGCGCACGCAAGCUGUUGGACAAGUCUGGCGUGAAAUCUCCGGGCUUAACUCGGAAAGGUCAACUGAUACUGUGCGACUAGAGUGCGGAAGGGGCAACUGGAAUUCUCGGUGUAGCGGUGGAAUGCGCAGAUAUCAGGAGGAACACCAAUGGCGAAGGCAGAUCUCUGGGCCGUAACUGACGCUGGAGGAGCGAAAGCAUGGGGAGCGAACAGG
rnacentral:rRNA from 1 species